rnacentral:lncRNA from 1 species
UUCUUUCUAGUUUUUGCGCGCUUCCUUCUUUCUUUAGGUUUUCUUCUUUGUUUCAUUAAACGCACCUUGUGGUUGAUUGGUUGACCUUAGUUUCUGAAGUGCAAUUGAAGAAUCAGCAAAAGAAUGGUAAGAGUGCAAACACUUGAGUACUUUCUUUUUUAACACAAUAUUUGCUAGUCCUUUUUGUUCUUUGUUGAUUUAAGGUAGGAUGAGUAAAGACAAGAAUGUGGUGGAUCGUACUGAUGGAAGUGAAUCGAAUAUGGGUAACGAUUAUAAGCUCUUUAAGAAGUCAGUCAGUGGUGAGUUACAAAGGCUCAAUAAGACCCUUGAGAGGUUAACUGAAACUAUGGAGAGUUUGAAUGUCUCACAAGCUUCCACUUCUACAAGAAUACCUCAAAGAACUCCUAAUUGCAAUAAUAACUGUGAUGAUUCGGAUGUGUUGGUU